AUUGAACGCUGGCGGCAGGCCUAACACAUGCAAGUCGAACGGUAACAGGAAGCAGCUUGCUGCUUUGCUGACGAGUGGCGGACGGGUGAGUAAUGUCUGGGAAACUGCCUGAUGGAGGGGGAUAACUACUGGAAACGGUAGCUAAUACCGCAUAACGUCGCAAGCCCAAAGAGGGGGACCUUCGGGCCUCUUGCCAUCGGAUGUGCCCAGAUGGGAUUAGCUAGUAGGUGGGGUAACGGCUCACCUAGGCGACGAUCCCUAGCUGGUCUGAGAGGAUGACCAGCCACACUGGAACUGAGACACGGUCCAGACUCCUACGGGAGGCAGCAGUGGGGAAUAUUGCACAAUGGGCGCAAGCCUGAUGCAGCCAUGCCGCGUGUAUGAAGAAGGCCUUCGGGUUGUAAAGUACUUUCAGCGGGGAGGAAGGGAGUAAAGUUAAUACCUUUGCUCAUUGACGUUACCCGCAGAAGAAGCACCGGCUAACUCCGUG
rnacentral:rRNA from 1 species